CGUACGUGUUGUGCAGGGCCGUGCCGUUAUGAAUUCAAACCUUCAAGCUUUAGAUGCACCCAAGAAGAACCAUCUUGAUCGUUACUGGUGCGGAAGUGAUGACCUUGGAGCGUUUUAAGUCGAAAUUGGUAUUUAGGUCAAUAGGUCUCAUAGCACAGGCUCAUGGUGACAUCUGGUGGUCAAUAGAGGAAACGCUUGAUGUGUAUUUACUCGAGGGAAAGUUGCAAGGAACCGUUACGCGAUCGUCAAUUCAAACGUCUCCUCUGCCAAAUACGUGGACAGACCUGCCCAUGAUGGGUGAAGGGGUGUAACGGAUCUUCCCGAACUUUCGCGAAAUCUGGACUGGUUGGCCAUCCGGUGAAAAGCAGGUUGAUAUAACUUAACCUUUUAUUACAAUGUGACUAUAUCGAACAAAGCUAUGACAUCCCAUCGAAGUCCGGUCCCAAGUUGCUCAGCGUUGCUUACUAGCUGCUUCAACAGACCGUCCUGAAACCCAUUUAAAUGGAACAUAUAUUACACAUAGGUAGGAGCAAUGUAACGCUGUAAGGUGGUAACUUAAAACUUCACAUGCAAUGCAAGAUAUUUUAAUAAACAUUACCCUGUCUUAAAACAGGUUUGUUUGGCACGUUUUUAUGGAUGAAAUUAAACUAGAAAUACGAGGAAAAGAACGAAACUCAUAUCGAGAUGAAGCUUAAUACUUUAGUACUAUAACAUUUACUAUAUGGAUGUGGUUGUAAUUAAAAAGUAAUGUAGAAAUAACUCUAUCGUACGAAAUUAUAAAAUGAUGCAGAUAUUUCAAAUUUCAAAUACCGAGGAUUACACGAUACCAUAGAGAUACUGUAGAUUCAAGAAGAGAAUGGAAGAAGAAAUAGGGAAUAAAAUAUUCCAAAUUUUAAGAUGGAUGUAUGAGAAUUUUCACUUGGCAAUUGCAUCAGAUUAAAGAAGAGAAUAAGAAGA